GCUUGGAUGGCUCAGUUGGUUAGAGCGCAGGUCUCAUACGUGAGUAUGAUCCUCGAAUGAGGAAUCAUCCUGCCAGUGCGAUCCUGAGGUCACGAGUUCGACCCUCGUUCCGAGCA